GUGGGGUUGACCGGGACGUACAGGGGUGGGGGCAUAUUUGACUAUACUAGUGAGCCGCACGUCGGUUGUCACUUAGUGUUGGGUUAGGUCAGCCCAGAGUAGACAUCGUCGACCGACAUUGUCGGUUAAUCUUGUGAUCGGAGUUCCACUCCGCUUGUUUAUACGCUAGUAGAUAGUGAUCGAAUAAUAGAUAUAUUUACGGGACAUUUUCGCGGUGGUAUCGGCCAGUUGUCGGUCUUAUCGUACAUUGAACGUUUCCAGUCGGAGUAAGUUGAUCGUGUAAAUUGUAGAAAAAAAUAUUCUUCUUUUCCAGACAGAAAAAAAAGGGGGGAAAUAAUCGAGCAUAACGAUUGUAUAUAGACUUUUAUUUUAGCACCACAUUAAUCGCGUCGCGUGAUACUUUGCGUUUUCUUCUCCGUAUCUCAUCGUCGCAAGUGAUCAUAUUGUGCUCGGCAAGAGUGGAUGGAGUAUCAAAGUGAAGAAAGCUCGUCGCAUGGAUUGUAGCAUGGCAUUGUCCUAUUUACAAGGGACGCAUAUAUACGCAGUUCAGGAUUCCUGAUCAAUCAACACCUGAGCAUGAUGCAGGACGCCGAGCAACAACAACCGUUCAACAAUGUAUCGCUAUAUCCGGAACCGCUAUCAAGAUCGGUAGCAAGAUUAUCGGUACUGAAUCAGGACUUUCUCGCUACUCAAGCCCUGUUAAAGGCGGGACUUCCUUUGCAUGGCUUGACCACUUCAUUCUUCAAUCAGAAUCUCUUCGUUGACCCGCGAGAUUGGCAAAGACAGCAGUCGAUCGGAUCUCCACCGCCCUCCUCCGUUCAUCUAUCGCCUGUAGUAUCGCCGGCUCUCAGCACUUCCAGCAAUUCCACAUCUCAGCGCAUCAGCAUUACCGCUGCCAGCGGCAGCAUCAAUGGUGACGACGAGGAUAAUAAUCACAAUAAUAAUAACAACAAUGUGCCGGGCAACAAGAAAGGGGGCAGGAAGAAGAGAAAACCAAUACAGAACCAACCAUUGAACACAGAAACCGUUGAACCACCAAUCGUUGACCAACAAAACGCUUUGCAAAAUGAAGUCGAACUCAACGUCGAACCAUCUCCAACUCCAACUGUUAAUUUCGAGGCAGAAUCUCCAACCGUCAGUCCUGAGGCAACAGAAAAGAAGAACAAGAAACAAAAUUUUGUUUGCGCUGUGUGCCAGAGAGGCUUUGGUUAUAAGCAUGUGCUGCAGAACCAUGAACGCACUCACACUGGCGAGAAGCCUUUCCAAUGUCCAGUGUGCCAUAAAAGAUUUACUCGGGACCAUCAUUUGAAAACACACAUGCGACUUCACACAGGCGAGAAACCUUACUGCUGCAAAUUCUGCCAGCGGCGAUUCGUCCAGGUCGCGAAUCUCCGGCGUCACUUGCGAGUACACACGGGCGAGCGCCCGUAUCUUUGCAGGCACUGCAAUAACCGUUUCAGCGACUCGAAUCAGUUGAAGGCUCACGUAAUGGUGCACAACGGUGAGAAACCGUACGAAUGCGAAAACUGCCAUGGACGAUUCAGAAGACGACACCAUCUGCAUCAACACAGAUGCAACGGCGAUAGUAAUGGCGGCGAUGAAGCGCAAGACUUCGAAACCGAACCGAACGAGAAUGACGAUAUCGACAUCGACGGCGAGGAGCAGGAGGAGCAGGAGAAUAUCUCGCACUCCGCUCAGGAAAUUCUCAAGAGGCCGACUCGUCGUGGAUUAUCCAGAGUCGACAUCGCCGCGCAGAUAUUGAAUCUACCCGGACCUUCGAGCACUCAACCUCCCGUGCCGUCGAUCGUUCUACCCGAGCAAACCGAGCCCGAGGAUCUAUCCAUGUCCAGGUUACGCAGACAUUACUCCAACAGCAGCAACGAUUCGUCGCUGAGCCAUAGCCUCAGCAAAGAUAGCAGUCCCGAACAAGAGGAUGAAAAGUACGAGGCCAACUUGUUCCUGAGACAUACCCGACAUACUGCGUCAAAACGGCAAUCCUCAUCACGACAACCAAGGAGCAACCCUUAACGCCAAUCAAGUGGAGCAUCAGCAUCCUAGUGGAGUUUCAACGGUAGAGAAAGAUUAUUGAAUAUAAUUAUCUAUCACACAUCGGAAACUCCAGGAGAAAAUGCUUCAUUCACGAGGAUUUCAUAUUUCAAAAUUUUAUGGAUUUGUCGAAGUCAUCCAUAAAACAUUAUCACUAGGGUGAUUGUUAUAUUUCCCGAUGGACCAUCGCACUGAAAUUGGGAUAAAGUGUCGCGGAUGCAAGCACAAAAGCGAUAAUAUUUUCGCGACUCAUCCGAGGUUGCAUCAUGGAUUCGCUCGUUGAUUCAGAAAACGCAGAGAAGAGACGUCGCGGGAUCGACGAAAAGGGGGCCAAGGGGGAUGCCUGGAGGGGCUGAUACAUGCUGAAAAACUGUUUCCCUCCACCCUCCCCGGCGCGUUUCCUCCCCGAUUUAGGAGGACCAAUGCGACCUGCAUUCAGCUGUGCCAUUCGGGCCACCGAGUUUCCAAAAUCUAGGAUUCCAUACACGCGCGAUCGAGCGACGGCUGAAGCUGCAGGCGUCGCCGAAGGGCUGAAGAGAGGGGUGGCGCGACCGUGGCACAGUGACACAUUAUGCCGUAAUAUGGGGGCACGUGGCAGAUGCAGCGGAUCGAGUCGACUGAAUCGUCCAAAUUCAUAGAUCGGCAGCAGUCUCUUGAGACUCCCCCUGCGUAUUUUAAUUUUAUAUUUAUUCUUUUUAACCUUUUUAUUUACCAGGAAUCUUACCAGAAAUCUUACUAGGAAUUAUACCAAGAGUUACCUAUAAGAUUUAUUUGAUCACAUAUU
rnacentral:misc_RNA from 1 species